AUUGAACGCUGGCGGCAUGCCUUACACAUGCAAGUCGAACGGUAACGGGUCCUUCGGGAUGCCGACGAGUGGCGAACGGGUGAGUAAUAUAUCGGAACGUGCACAGUAGUGGGGGAUAACUGCUCGAAAGAGCAGCUAAUACCGCAUACGACCUGAGGGUGAAAGGGGGGGAUCGCAAGACCUCUCGCUAUUGGAGCGGCCGAUAGCAGAUUAGCUAGUUGGUGGGGUAAAGGCCUACCAAGGCAACGAUCUGUAGUUGGUCUGAGAGGACGGCCAGGCACACUGGGACUGAGACACGGCCCAGACUCCUACGGGAGGCAGCAGUGGGGAAUUUUGGACAAUGGGCGCAAGCCUGAUCCAGCAAUGCCGCGUGCAGGAAGAAGGCCUUCGGGUUGUAAACUGCUUUUGUCAGGGAAGAAAUCUUCUGGGCUAAUACCCCGGGAGGAUGACGGUACCUGAAGAAUAAGCACCGGCUAACUACGUGCCAGCCGCCGCAGUAA
rnacentral:rRNA from 1 species